UUGGCUGGGGGUGCUUACCAUGCAGUCGAACGGUGAAGCAGAGCUUGCUCUGUGGAUCAGUGGCGAACGGGUGAGUAACACGUGAGCAACCUGCCCCUGACUCUGGGAUAAGCGCUGGAAACGGCGUCUAAUACUGGAUAUGAGCUGCGAUCGCAUGGUCAGCAGUUGGAAAGAUUUUUCGGUCUGGGAUGGGCUCACGGCCUAUCAGCUUGUUGGUGAGGUAAUGGCUCACCAAGGCGUCGACGGGUAGCCGGCCUGAGAGGGUGACCGGCCACACUGGGACUGAGACACGGCCCAGACUCCUACGGGAGGCAGCAGUGGGGAAUAUUGCACAAUGGGCGAAAGCCUGAUGCAGCAACGCCGCGUGAGGGAUGACGGCCUUCGGGUUGUAAACCUCUUUUAGCAGGGAAGAAGCGAAAGUGACGGUACCUGCAGAAAAAGCGCCGGCUAACUACGUGCCAGCAGCCGCGGUAAUACGUAGGGCGCAAGCGUUAUCCGGAAUUAUUGGGCGUAAAGAGCUCGUAGGCGGUUUGUCGCGUCUGCUGUGAAAUCCCGAGGCUCAACCUCGGGUCUGCAGUGGGUACGGGCAGACUAGAGUGCGGUAGGGGAGAUUGGAAUUCCUGGUGUAGCGGUGGAAUGCGCAGAUAUCAGGAGGAACACCGAUGGCGAAGGCAGAUCUCUGGGCCGUUACUGACGCUGAGGAGCGAAAGGGUGGGGAGCAAACAGGCUUAGAUACCCUGGUAGUCCACCCCGUAAACGUUGGGAACUAGUUGUGGGGUCCAUUCCACGGAUUCCGUGACGCAGCUAACGCAUUAAGUUCCCCGCCUGGGGAGUACGGCCGCAAGGCUAAAACUCAAAGGAAUUGACGGGGACCCGCACAAGCGGCGGAGCAUGCGGAUUAAUUCGAUGCAACGCGAAGAACCUUACCAAGGCUUGACAUAUACGAGAACGGGCCAGAAAUGGUCAACUCUUUGGACACUCGUAAACAGUGGUGCAUGGU
rnacentral:rRNA from 1 species